AUUCUUUGCCCAAACAGCUUUUCUUCUUCCAAGGAAAGGCUGUUUUCUUCUCCCUCAUGCUUGGGCUCAUACUUUCUCCUCUGCUUGGACUUAUUGUGUAAGGCUGAGAUGUCUCAGCAUUCAUAUCUCUGUAACCUUAGUGCUAUUUUACAUUCUUCAUUAUCAGUUUGUGAUUAUGUCUUCCGCAUAAUAUCAGCAUCAGUAAAUUAAAUAUUUUUUCCACUCUUUUCAUUAAGAUACCAAACUUUAUGCUUCUAUUUAUUUACUUCAUUACUAAUGCUGAUUAAGUCUAAGAAAGCAAACAUCUUAUAAUGGAAAAUUCCUCUUUCUCUCUUGGCAGUUACCAUUCCCAGUUGCUGGGGAUUGGUUUCUUUAAAUUUUCUUUAUAUCAGCAGGCAAGGUUUCCUCUGCAUAUGCCAGCCAAUCCUCCUCUCAUCAACAGAACUUUCCACCAAAAUGAGUGCCUAUGGAAUCAGUAACCAUGUGCAGAACUUCUGAAGCAACUUAAUAUGUUCUUCCUCCCUCUCAUGAAUUGUGCUUGGUAUUUAGUCAGAAAUGAUCACAUUUUGACUGAGUUAAUGUAUUCAAAGGAAAACCUGUGUAGAGAACGGAGUACAGAACUGAUGUCCUGUCAUUAUGAUGUCUUACUUUCUUUGGAUUUCAAGUUAAUCACAGCUGAGUUCAGGUUUACAAGGAGAAAGAGAUGCUCAGUAUCUCAAAGGAUGUGCCAACCAAUUCAGUCUGUGUAUUUCUAAAUCAGGAAAAACUUGUGAUGGUACCAGAGCAGCUAGAGACUAUCCAAGUUAAAGACAAAAUGAACAGUAGACAAGAAGAAUCCUGGUGUUCAGUUUAUCUGCCUACAAGAAAACCAGUAAUUUCUGCAACUCACAGUUGUAGUUUUAGGUAUACAGACCUCAUUCUUUCAUGGGGAAUCACUUCUAGAGAGAUGUGCUGUCUUUGCUGAGAACAUCCAUGGCACAAUGGAUCCCAGUCCAACAUCUGAAUAGGGCAUUCUGAAAUACUGUGUCUAGUUCUGGGCUCUCUGGUUCAAAAAAGGAAUCUUCUGGAAAGAGCUAGAAAACAUCCAGUGGAAGGCAAGAAAGAUGACUGAGGGCCUGGAGCAUCUUAACACAAGAGACAAGAGUAUCUUCAAUAUGGAGAAGAGAAGGCUAAGAGGGAAUCCCAUCACUGUUUAUGUUAUGAAAAUCUGAAGUUCAGGAGUCAAGUUGAUGGAGUCAGCAUGUUUUCAGUGGUAUGCUGCAGCAGAACAAGGAGCAACAGGCAGAAACUGGAACACAGGAAGUUUCACACUAACACAAGGAAGAACUUCUUUACUGUCAGAGUGACUGAGAACAGACUGCCCAGAGAGGUCACAGAGUCUCUUCUGGAGACAAUCAAGACCUGCCUAGACACCUACCUGUACAACCUACUGCAGGGAACCUGCUUUAGAAGGGUGUUUGGAUUAUAUGGACUCCAGAGGUCCCACCCGACUGCCACAAUUUAGUGAUUCUGUGGUUGCCCCACAAAUGAAUAAUCUCAGCAACAGGGGAAAAAUCUCCUAAAAAAGAUUCACCUACUUCCUAAAUCUUAUAGCCUUACAUCUAACACAGAUCUCUCAUGAAGAAAUUAAGAAAAAGGGAAGGGCUUUGUAUGGGAACUGUUACAUCAUAGCUGAACCAGUGAUUGAACACCUGGUGAAGGGGUGUAGGUUGCCCUGGGACUACAGGUGGAAGCAAUUCAACUGCACAAUGUGAAAAAGUAACAACAAAAGGAGCUAGGGUCCACUCCUGCCUAACUUCGUUUAAGGGCUGUCAGGAAGGAGAAUCUGUAAUUAGAGAUCAUCUUCUUUGGAGUGCUUGGUGAAGCCCUGAUUCUUGGAAAGGGGAAAUUGUGGAAACUGUGACUCAUCUCUUCAAUAAUUUACACAGGAUAAUUUCUUGAAAAGCAAGAUCAGCAGGGUCUUUUUCUCCUGAUCGCAGAGGAUUUGGUUAUAUAUUUCUGAAUACUCAAAAAACAAGAUCACAUUUUACUGAAUCAGUGAAAAUGAAAAAGGAAGUUUAACAGAAUCUCUUCAGUGAUUACUUUUCUCCCCAUUCCUGGAAACAUUCCUAGAAGAAAACAGCCCCCCCGAAAGAUCAAGAUUGAUUCAGUAUCAUUUGCAUUGUUUCGGCAGCAGAAAAUAAAUGGAGAACUGAGCUAAGAGAUUGUAUCCUUCUUUGACUGAAGUUUCACCCAGAUGUGUUGGAUGUGUAACAGUUCUGGCAAAUUCUUCUCUCUGGUGGUGAGAAUAGAGAACAAGUUCUCAAACGGCUUUGUGUUAGAGGCUAGUUAAAUCAUUAGUUAGAGCCGAGUGAAAGAUCAGGAGUAUGAGAUUACUUUACUUUAUUUGAGUUCCUUUCCUAUAAGGAAUUUAGAUCUAGGAUCCUUACCCUAAAUCCUUCUUAGGCACCCACCACAUGGGUGGUAGGCUGGCAAAUGCCUGUCAAAGCAGGUGAGAAAAUUCAGUAACUUCUGUUUACUGUAGAAGCAAACUUUAUGGCCUUACAGAAAAAGCUUGCUACAGUUGGUAGAGCAAGGUGUGGUUUCAAAUAAAGCUUGAAUUGUUGAGGAUAUUACAGGUCUUGAAAUUAAGUUAAGAAAAUGUGCAUAAAGCCUCAGUGUGGAGUAAUAUAGAAGAUGUCCUGGUUCUUUGUUUUUCGUGGUAUGGCUUUUUUGUUUGUUUUUUUUACAUUGAGGGGUUCUUAUGGUUUCUAUUCAAUUGCAUUUUAUUUUAGUUAUGUAAGUUCUACAUUGGUCUUUCUGGUGGAGAGUUGAAAGCUUCUUGGCAAUGUAUGGCUAACUGAGUAAUUCUGGAUGAGCCACAGUGGAAGGCUGUGUAGCAGCAGCUUGACUGUCAUUUGUAUCUCAAAAAGAAGACAUCAUUAUAACAUAUUGUCCCCAGCAAGCUAAGCACACUGAGUAAAGCAGCACAGAGUCAUCAUGAUUAUGCUAUUUUUUAAAACUGUGUGCCAUUUAUGUAUAUUUUAAAUACAGUACCAUAGUUCCAACCCAAGUCUCUAUUGUUAGGCACAAUCUGAAGUCACUGUUGCCUGUUCUGGAAUAUUAAAACUUGUCUUUUGAUGGAACAUUAGACUGACUUUGCACAGAAGUAAAUUAUUCUUAAAUCUUGCAGGGCAGUGGAGAUUUGCUCCUUGUUUAUUUACUCAUGGUGAAUUUUGCUUUGAAAAAAUCACUCUUGUAGACUUUGACUUGUAAGAUUAGGGAUACUGUGACCUAUCAUCAGAGUUCAGGCACUAUUACCAAAUUUUUCUCUUUGCUUAGAACAACGUCUAGAAUGCUAAAAGCUCACAUUACAUGUAUUGUUAAAGAAAAUGUGAAUUUCUCUAAUUAGGAACACAAGCAUAGUAACCUUAAAUAAAGGUCAUAUCCUUAUAGGGAGACUUGUAAUGAGGGUGACAAGUACGUAUGCUGCUGAAACACACACAACCUUCUGAACUGUACUGCACAGAGGUUGCUGGAACGAUUCAUAGGACUUUUGUUCACUUUUUUUUUUCUAAUUAAUUCAGUGAUGGGUGAAGUUUGUUUUGACUUGCUUCUACUGCCCUGUGUGACAUUUACCACAUAAUUAUCAUCUUUCAUUGUUUCAAAGAAUCUCCCAGCUAUCUUCAGAUAUUGGUAAAAUUAUUUUGUCAAUUGUUCCGAUUGAUUCUUCAAAAUAAAAAUAGAUUGUAAUGUUGUAGAACAGAUUCCUAGCUCUGAAAAUUCAAACCUUUAACAAAUCAACAUUUCCCAAAUUUUCAAUGAAAAGCCCUGUAAAUUAAGGAGCUUUAACUGGAGUUGCCUUGCAAUGUCAAAUUGAUUCCUCCAGGGGUUUAAGAGGCAUUAUGUUCUGAUUGACAAUUUUUAUUGUUUUUAGGCGGAAAUCUUUGUUUAUGCAUAUUUGAAAUAUGUAUAUUUCUGGUUAAUUUUAGUUCUAAAAAUUCUUGGAUGUGGAACCUAUUAGUCAUAAUGUUCUGUUUGCUACUCAUGGAUACCUCAUUUUUUCAUCAUUUCUAAUUGUAUAUUGUGAAGUUAAAAAUAUUCCAGCUAUAAAAUGUAAAUUAUUUUGCCUAUACUGAGUUUAAAUGAAUACAUUGGAUAUAUUUUUCUUUGAAAGUGUUCCAAUAUGUUAGAUAAGAUCAAAUUUGAGGAAAAAAAAUGUUUCUUCGUGAUGCUUUUUGUAAUGUAUGUUUCUAUACUAUUAUGCAGAACAGUGUGGUUUUAAGCAGUUUAUUUUCUCUUAAUUUUGUUCCUCAUUUCGAUGUUUUUUACAGGAGGACAUUAAUUUUUUUUCAUUUGUUGUGAUUUGGUUUAUGCCCUUGGUAAAAUGCAGGAACUAUGCCAAUUAAAAUGUAGUUUUCAUAUUGCCUCUUGAAGGAAUUGCUGAAAUUUUUCAGUGCAUCAUAUUAAAAUGUUUUAAAAUUAAAUAAAUAUUCACUUUAUGAAUUCAGUUUAUUAUUUGAUAAUGCUUAAGUUUAUGUGUGUUGGAACACAGAUUUGGGUUCUGUAAUGCUACUUGAAUGAUUUAUUUUCAAAUUUGCUUAGCUGUAAUACUGGCACAGUUAGUUUUACUUAUGAAAGUUUUAGUUCUUACUAGUUUCAGCUCUCAGUUUAAUUCUAACUAAAGCUAACAGCUGUUUUCUUGCAGCAGUGUCUAUUAAUUUUAUAUCUCUGCUAUCACUUCAGAUUCAGACAGAUCUGUCCAGUUCAAAACAUAUGGUACACUUACAUGGGGAAUAUCUGAUGUCUGUGUUUUGGUGUUUGGAGAUCGGAGCCUAAACGGGAAGAUCUUUGUGUUGCAGUCCAAGACUGCACAAGAAUCAUCAGAUGGAGAGAACUCUAGAAGUCCUGUAGGAUAGUGUUCUCUGACAUUUCCAGCCCCAGUUAACACUGCAAAAUCUUUAGCUCACACUGGUCAUUUAUAUACCCACCUGCAGAAAGAAGAUCAAAGCUGUUGUAUACACAGGCUAUCUUUGAGAUUUCAGAGUCUACAUGUCAUGGAAGUUCAAAGAAACCGUAUGACUGUAGCCAGCCUGGCACUGUGGUAGCAUGCAGCUUCCAGUAAAAAAAGUGAGCUGCUGAGACUUAGUUCUGAAGUCAUUAUGCAACUUUUCACUGUGCAGUGUACACAUCACCUUUUUUUUUCAAUAGGAAUUUAGAAUAUUGCCUGUGGUAUAAGUGUUGUCCUUGAUAAAUUUCUUGCUCCUUUUGCAAGGAAUUAUUGGUAUGUUGUUCAGCAAAGAUUCAGCAAGGAAGUGCAUAAUUUCCACAUUAAUUCAAUGGAAGUUUGUACAAGUUUGUCUAAAGUUUGAAUGAAGCCAUUUCACUUUGCAAUAAAAUCAAUGAGCAGCAGUCAUGCUGCUUUUUAUUGCAUGUCAUCUGAAAAUGGGUUUAAAGUCUCUUUAAUUUCUUUAACUCAACCAUUUGUGACUUUAUCAACAUAUCACGUCAGUCAACUAUUUUUGAAAAUGAGAAUAUAGAUUAAUUGUAGAUAAUCUCUUCUAAUCACAUUUUUUUCCUUUCCCAAAAAAGACUUCAGCCAACUUCACCAAUUGAAUUCUGUAUGACUUUCUUUGAAAUCACCACUUUCCUUUCUUUUUUCCAUAAUUCACUGUUCUAGUCGUUAUGGAAUUGUCCUAAAUUUGCAGUAAGUCCUCCUCGCUGUUUACAGCAUUGUCAAUGUUAAAUUUCUGGGGAAGGACUAUUACAGUUUCAGUUUUUGCAAAUAGUAAAAAGAAAUUAGCAAGUCCAAAGACAGUAGUAUGAGAAGUAGGUGCCUAAUAUAAGGGCAUAAUAAAUGGCAAAAAGAUUAAUAAAACUGUCAAACAUUAUUAAUUAGAAAGAUGUCUUUUACAUCGUUAUUAUGGGUUAUGAAUAUCUCCUAUACUUGCAGAACUAACAGCUAGAAGUCAAGCCUGGCUGGAAGGUUUUCUGUAUGAAUAAGAUUCUUUGAGAAAACCAAUCAAGAAUAGAAACUUCAUUAAAGUGACAGGCGUUUUUCAUCAGUCCCCUUCACAGCUGUCUUAUUCAAAGGGUACGAGAAUGAUAGCUGACCUUCUGGAUAUAAAAAUGACAUUUAAAAAUAUGAAUAAAGUACAAAUUAAUCCAGUUAUAAAAGGAAAAUACAGUAUAUCAUUUCUUUGUCUUUGGUAUUACUGUUUUGCAGUGAUAACCUGUCCCAGCUGAAAUCUGUAGGAAUUCACUAUUGAUUUUAACUCAGCUAAAUGUACCAUUUCCUGACAUCAGAAAAAAAACCUGACUGAAGUGCUUAAAGUGUCUAUUGUGAGGCUCUAUUUUUGGAAACUAUGCAAAUAGGUUUCCUAAAGCAUUCUAAUCCAAAGCUUACAUAUUCUGGGCUUUAUUUUUGUAAUUGCUGUAAGUAGCUUUCCCACACUGCAAUGGCUUGGAUGUACAUUUGGGAAAUGGGAAGGACAGAUUUGAAUUUGCGGCUGAGAACAAAAGAAUGUUUUUUUAUGGUUUUGAACAGAUAGCCUAAUUGGUGAGUUGUUUUGAAAAAAGUCAGGUAUCAUCAAUGAGCUGAGUUUCUGGAAAAGUGAGCCCCAGUUGAUAAAGAGCUUGACUCAGAAAUGAAUUCUAAUUUACAGAGCCAACCUGCUUGGAGGUACUUAAUAUGACACUGGUACAUUUGGUGGGGGUUUAAGCCCAUUGCUGUGAUCGUGGUGUUUUAUUUGCUGGAACUGGUCUCCACUCACUGAAGUGUUUUUAUGGGCCAGUCUACUGAGUUUCUUGUUUGUCUUUAAGGGAAUCUGGGUGCCUAAGCAUAACUCCCUGGGUCAUUAUCUUAUAAUCAACCACCUAUGGUUUUGCUGCUGCCUAAAUUAGAAAUACUUUUUUCCUUUCUUUUCAUCCUAAUAACUUUGCUUUAAGGAAUCUAGUUUGGUCACUGUUUACUAUUACUUUCAUUGCUCCCAAAAGAUCUUUCAGGUACUGAUACUCUAGCAAAUGCUGGAAACAAGUGAAGUCAGCUGUGAAAACAGCCACCUCAGAGUAACUGCAUUGUGACCUAACAGACAGAAGAAUUAAGGGAAAAAUUUACAGAGUGAUGAAAGGAUCUUACACAUCAGGUAAACAGUCUCUUGGAUAACCUGUAUUAGCUGUAUAUAACUGAAAUUUAUACGCACUCAGUUGAAAAAUAGAUUUCUCCUUCAUGUGAGCAUGAAGAAGAGCAUUAAUAAUAAUUAAUGUUGAUAUCUCUACAUGUCUGUAGCCCUAUGCCUAUCUGUGAAUGCUGGACAAGGUUCACUUUCAUGAUAUAACAGCUGGAAUACUCAGAGACAUAAUUAGUGCCUCUUAGAAAGUAAUAUGAUAUUAGUUGUAUACAUCAUAUGGAUCAGAUCUUUCUUGAAAUAUAUGUAUGUGGUUGGGAAGAGUAGGCAAGAGUUAAUCCUAAGGUAAUUUUCUUUUUUCCUUUUUUUUUCCUUUCUUUUCAAGAAGUCAGAUUCAAAAAUACUUAAUUUCCUAGCUCCUCUCCUUGCUAUUAGGUCUCUUAAAGCAUAGUGGCAUAAACACCAGACUAUUUCCUUAUGGAAACUUCUGUAAAGCUUUCUGCAUUCCAGUAAAUAAAAGAUUGAAUUUUCCCUGGAAGAGGCAAAGAAAAUAUAAUUACAUUGGUUUAAAGCAGCUAAGAAGGAAAAUAAAAUACUAGAAAGCAUUUAAGGAUUUUUUUUUUUAAUUUGUUUUUUUUUUUAGAUUUUACAGUCCAGGAGUGCAGCUUACCACAAAACCAUCUGUCAACAAUGCAUCUGCUUUCUCUCACUGUUUUUUGCAAGAUAGCACUUGUAACAAAUAGAAUGUCCCCAAAACAAUUUUAUCAGCUGAUAAUUUUUUUUCUUCAUGGCAAAAACUAGAUUGAUAAAGCUUUAAAAAAAAACUUCACAAGUCACUGAUAGACAAUGACUCAGAAUAUUAGUUACACGCGAGUCACUCAGAACAGGGAUUAGCUGUUAGAGCAUCAAAUUCCAUUCUAGCAGAGCACCACCAGCACUUCCCAUCAGACAGGUUAACUUCUGUUUACAUCCUUACCUACUGUGACACUCUACAGAAUUGCCUUUUUUCUGGUGUUUUUCACCAGGGAUAGGUUUAUUUCACUUUAUAAUUUUUACACAGUUGGAGCUCUUUGGACAGAAGCAGGUAUGGCAUUUAUCUUUGUUUUUUAGUGUUAUUCUGCUAUUCUAAUGUAAGAUUUUGACAUUCCAAUUAAAUAUAUAUAUAUUUAUUUGUUAUUUUCAAUUCAGCCACAAGAUUCUUACUUCUUUUUUAAAUUAUUGUUCUUAUUUUUUCCCCCUCUGCCAGACAGAUUUACUCAAAUUAAACUUGAGCAAAACCCAGUAACCUCUGAGAAAAGCUUCUUGCCAUGCAAGCAGCAAUAGGUAAUGUCUGGUCACAUGUUGGCAUCAAUAAUCUAAAAUCUAAAAUGAGAAGAUUUUUGUGUGUGUGUUGUUUGGGUUUUUUUUCCCAAAAUUCUUUAAAGUAGAGAAAAGUCUGUUUGGGGGGUUGUUUUUUUGCUUGUUUCUUUUUUUUUUUUCCUCCGACUCUCAUGGAUUCAUUUUUGACAGAUCAGUGUGUGAACUCAGCUAUCUUAACAGAAUUUUUAAACUACCUCUUUUGUGCUGUCCUCGCUAUCUGCAAUUACCACCACCAGUUUUGUGAGCUUGUAAAAGUACAGGGAUUUGUGCUGUGCCUCAACCCAACAAGUCUGUCUACCAGUAUUUUUUAGAAGGCAUUGGAGAAAGGAUGCAGCAAUUGUAUCAUUGUACAAAAAUCUAGAACAUACUUUACCUAAAUAGCAAUAUAUACAUGUUAAUUCUCUCUAUUUUGCAUAACUGCAGAGUAAUUAAUAUCUUAUAAAAAACUAUGACAGUUGUAUACGUGAUGACAAAGCUUUGCUGUUGCAAUUGGCUUCUUAGCUUAAAGCCAUUCAAAAACAGAUAACAAAUGGAAUUAUUUUUCACUCUGAUCUUUAAACCAAGAUUUCCUCAUUUAUAACCUGUGACAUUCUUGUAUGGCAGUUCACGAAGCUGAGGGACAUAAACUUCUUCCCUAUCAUAGCAGAACAGAUUGUGGAAGUAAGCAUGUGAUUGGAGGAUGCUUUCUUCAACAGAAUGCAGUAACAUUCUUCUGUUCUGCAGUCACUGAAAUCCUAGACUGGUCUCACAGUUUCCUAAUGGAGAUAGGCCCACAGUGACAAAAUGAUUGGCCUUUCUGAUCCAACUUGGACAUUCAAAUUCUACUUUAAAUACAGGUAUUUUCAAAGGAAAAAAA